rnacentral:lncRNA from 1 species
CGGCUACUACAGUAAGAAAGUGUUGCUGGGGGAAGGUCAGCUCUCUGGCCCACGCCUUCCACCUGUUUCUGCUGUGUUCUUUCCUCAGGGAUCCCAACGGCUUCAAUGACUGGACCUUCUCCACUGUGCGAUGCUGGGGGGAGAGAGCCCGAGGGACCUACAGGCUUGUCAUCAGGGAUGUCGGGGAUGAGUCAUUCCAGGUCGGCAUCCUCCGGCAAUGGCAGCUGACCCUAUAUGGCUCUGUGUGGAGUGCAGUAGACAUCAGGGACAGACAAAGGUGGGUAAAGCCGCAUGUGUCAGAGGGAAGGCCAGUCACAGGGGAAGGGCUGCCUAGGGAGCCCAUCGCCCUCUGAACCCCAGCUGUGCUUCCCAGUUCCAGCGUCAAGCUGGUAGAUGGAGCCCCGGGCUGGGAACUCACAGUCUGGGCCUCUCCUUUUUGCUGUGGGGCUUCCCUGUCUUCACCUGUAAGGCAGGAAAAUGGGUGAGGGCAGAUGGUAUAGGAACCAUAGUCAGUGGGGCAUCCUCACCUCUU